UACGGAGGAUGCGAGCGUUAUCCGGAUUUAUUGGGUUUAAAGGGUGCGUAGGCGGGCUUUUAAGUCAGCGGUGAAAGUUUGCGGCUCAACCGUAAAAUUGCCGUUGAAACUGGUAGUCUUGAGUAUAUUUGAAGUAGGCGGAAUUCAUAGUGUAGCGGUGAAAUGCAUAGAUAUUAUGAAGAACUCCAAUUGCGCAGGCAGCUUACUAAACUAUAACUGACGCUGAAGCACGAAAGCGUGGGUAUCAAAC
rnacentral:rRNA from 1 species